rnacentral:tRNA from 1 species
GGAGAGUUGGCUGAGUGGUUGAAAGCGGCACCCUGCUAAGGUGCUGAUCGUUUAAUCGAUUCGCAGGUUCGAAUCCUGCACUCUCCG